rnacentral:rRNA from 1 species
GAUGAACGCUGGCGGCGUGCCUAAUACAUGCAAGUCGAGCGAACGGACGAUAAGCUUUCUUCUCUGAUGUUAGCUGCGGUCGGUUGAGUACCACGUGGAUAACCUCCCUUUAAGACUGGGAUAACUUCGGGAAACUGGCGCUAAUACCGGAUAAUAUUUUGCACCGCAUGGUUCUAAAUUGAAAGACGGUCUUGCUGUCACUUAUAGAUGGAUCCUCGCUGCAUUAGCUAGUUGGUAAGGUAACGGCUUACCAAGGCAGCGAUGCAUAGCCGACCUGAGAGGGUGAUCGGCCACACUGGAACUGAGACACGGUCCAGACUCCUAAGGGAGGCAGCAGUAGGGAAUCUUCCGCAAUGGGCGAAAGCCUGACGGAGCAACGCCGCGUGAGUGAUGAAGGUCUGCGGAUCGUAAAACUCUGUUAUUAGGGAAGAACAUAUGUGUAAGUAAAUGUGCACAUCUUGACGGUACCUAAUCAGAAAGCCACGGCUAACUACGUG